rnacentral:rRNA from 1 species
CAGUCGCCGCGGGAAUACGUAGGGUGCGAGCGUUAAUCGGAAUUACUGGGCGUAAAGCGUGCGCAGGCGGUUAUAUAAGACAGAUGUGAAAUCCCCGGGCUCAACCUGGGACCUGCAUUUGUGACUGUAUAGCUAGAGUACGGUAGAGGGGGAUGGAAUUCCGCGUGUAGCAGUGAAAUGCGUAGAUAUGCGGAGGAACACCGAUGGCGAAGGCAAUCCCCUGGACCUGUACUGACGCUCAUGCACGAAAGCGUGGGGAGCAAACAGGGUUAGAUACCCGCGUAGUCCCUGUCUCUUAUAC